rnacentral:pre_miRNA from 1 species
GGAACUUCGAUUAGACUUUGUAUUAGGUUAGUGCAAAAGUCGUUGAAGUUUUUGCCAUUACUUUUAACGGCAAUGACUUUUGCACCAACCUAAUACUAAUUCAUAAUACAUGAGUUUC